rnacentral:rRNA from 1 species
UGCGUAGGCGGAUUAAUAAGUCGGUGGUGAAAUCUUUCGGCUCAACCGAGAAACUGCCAUUGAUACUGUUAAUCUUGAGUUCGGUUGAGGUAGGCGGAAUGUGUAAUGUAGCGGUGAAAUGCUUAGAUAUUACACAGAACACCAAUUGCGUAGGCAGCUUACUAGACCGACACUGACGCUGAGGCACGAAAGCGUGGGGAGCGAACAGGAUUAGAUACCCUGGUAGUCC